GAUGAAGAACGUAGUGAAAUGCGAUAAGUAAUGUGAAUUGCAGAAUUCAGUGAAUCAUCGAAUCUUUGAACGCACAUUGCGCCCGCCAGUAUUCUGGCGGGCAUGCCUGUUCGAGCGUCAUUACAACCCUCAGGCCCCCGGGCCUGGCGUUGGGGAUCGGCGGAGCCCCCCGUGGGCACACGCCGUCCCCCAAAUGCAGUGGCGGUCCCGCCGCAGCUUCCAUCGCGUAGUAGCUAACACCUCGCGACUGGAGAGCGGCGCGGCCACGCCGUAAAACACCCAACUCUUCUGAAGUUGACCUCGCAUCAGGUAGGAAUACCCGCUGAACUUAAGCAUAUCAAUAAGCGGAGGA
rnacentral:misc_RNA from 1 species